GGCUUCCUAUGUGUUGUUAGAUUCCAUGGAAACAUGUAUGCUGAGAAUGAAACUGUGUGCCAAGAAGAUGUGUGAUCAUGAGGGUAUAAAAUAAAGCCAGACCUCAGCCAAGGUGGAGCAGUUUGUCCUGUGAAACUAUGCUGUGGAUUGAAUUAAAAAACUGUGUCCCAUCCAUCAUUCCACUGACACCGUCCGACCUCCAAGACCCCAUCCCCUGUGGAGGCUGGCCCACUCCAUAGCAGAAACCCAAACCAGAAACUUCCAGGUAAACAAGGCAGCAGUCUAGAUGCAGGAUUCUUCCUCUCCUCAGCACCUAUGGAUAUCAACUACCUCAAAAGAUAAAAAAAAAAAUUCAUAUGAACAAAGGGACUCUACAGUAGGGCACAGCAUUGAAGAGUUCCAGUUUGGGUUCAGUCUGUCUUUCCCUCCUGAUGCAGAUGCUACCUCCAACCAUUGCUGUCUUGGGAACAAGGCCAAGAUGCAAGUGAAGACCCCACAUCAUCAAUAGGUGACUCUUAACUAAGGGAUAACUACAUAGAUUAUAAUAUAUAAAUGUAAUGGGAUAGUAUCCAUUUCUUAAUAUUAAUUAUCAUAGUUAAUACAGAAACACAUAGAAAAACAUGUGUGAACUAAUGUAAAGUAAAAUAAACAGAACCAAAAAAAAACA
rnacentral:lncRNA from 1 species